rnacentral:tRNA from 1 species
GGAGGCGUGAGGGUGCCUGGUGGCCCCCACGGUCUUCAAAACCGAUGUGGCCGAGCACCUCGGUCAGGCGGGUUCGAUUCCCGUCCGCCUCCGCCA